rnacentral:rRNA from 1 species
GUGUUAUACAGCGAAACUGCGAAUGGCUCAUUAAAACAGUUAUAGUUUAUUUGAUAAUCGAAUUUACAUGGAUAACCGUGGUAAUUCUAGAGCUAAUACAUGCUGGUAUGCCCGACUUUUGCGGAAGGGCGGUAUUUAUUAGAUAACAAGCCAAUAUUCCUCUGGUCUAUUGUGGUGACUCAUAAUAACUGAUCGAAUCGCAAGGCCUUUGGCCGCGAUAAAUCAUUCAAGUUUCUGCCCCAUCAGCUUUCGAUGGUAGUGUAUUGGACUACCAUGGCGUUUACGGGUAACGGAGGAUUAGGGUUCGAUUCCGGAGAGGGAGCCUGAGAAACGGCUACCACAUCUAAGGAAGGCAGCAGGCGCGUAAAUUACCCAAUCCUGACUCAGGGAGGUAGUGACAAGAAAUAACGGACCGGUUCCUUCGGAUUCGGGAUUGCAAUGAGCCGAAUUUACACCCCUUAGCGAGGAUCGAUUGGAGGGCAAGUCUGGUGCCAGCAGCCGCGGUAAUUCCAGCUCCAAUAGCGUAUAUUAAAGUUGUUGCAGUUAAAAAGCUCGUAGUUGGAUUUCUGGGAGGGUGCCAAUGUCCGUCGUCGUACGUGUUGCAGCGGCGCCCUUCCAUCCUUCUGUUAACGACUUUGGGCAUUCACUUGCCGGAGUCGGGCUCAGAUAUUUUACCUUGAGAAAAUUAGAGUGUUUCAGGCAGGCUAGGCCGGAAUACAUUAGCAUGGAAUAAUGGAAUAGGACUACGGUCUCUUUGUUGGUUUGAGGGACUGCAGUAAUGAUUAAUAGGGAUAGUUGGGGGCAUU